AGAGCAGAAGAGAGCUACUCUCUCUCUCUCUCAUCCACUGCCUUUUUCUUCCCUUCUUAUAGCUCCACCAACCCAACCCCCCACUCAAACACCAUUCUCUCAUUUCCUCCAUCACUUCCUUCUUCUACUCAUCUCUCAAUUCUCAUCUCUCAUAGAGUAGUAGAGGUCUUACAUAGUGAAACUGAGAGCCAACUCUAACUAAGCUAAUGAGAUGAAGUGUGUAUGAAGGAAAAGCUUUGUUAGAUUUCUUCCAGCUGUUUCUUCUCAUUCAUCAAUCAUCUGGGUUUAGUUCAAUUCGCUUUGUUUGAUGGGUCAUAAUUCUCUACAAGUUUGCAUGGAUUCAUCUGACUGGCUUCAGGGCUCGAUUCACGAGGACCAGUCUCCGAUGGACUCUUCGUCACCACUAUCCGGCGACAUCUUAACAUGCUCAAGGCCCUUGAUAGAGAGAAGGUUGAGGCCACCACAUGACCAAUCCCUCAAGUGCCCUAGGUGCGACUCCACCCACACCAAGUUCUGCUACUACAAUAACUACAGCCUCUCUCAGCCUAGGUACUUCUGCAAGACCUGUAGAAGGUACUGGACCAAAGGAGGUACACUCAGAAACAUUCCUGUUGGUGGUGGUUGUAGAAAGAACAAGAAGGUUGCUUCCAAGAAACCCAAUGAAGAUCACAGUCCCUCCAUGAACCCUAACCAUCUUGGGUCGUCAUCUUCGUCUUCUCAACACAACCCUACUGAUCUCCAGCUCUCGUUCCCCGACCAGAUGCAGUUUUCGCAUCUGAAUAACUUGAUGCUUGGUGCUCAAGGGACAGGAAACCCUAAUUUCAUGGAUGGCAGGUAUGGUAACAUUAACAGUAUGCUUGAGAAUUCAAACCAGUUGAGGCCAAUUGACUUCAUGGAGAGUAAGUUGGAAGCUAUAGUGGGGAAUGCUAGGAACUAUGAUUUCAUGGGGAGUGGUGGUGAUGGUUUGGGUAUGGUAGGUGGCCUUAGUAAUAUGGGGGCUCAUGGACUGGAAUCUGGCUUCCAUGGUUUUUGUUCUAGUUCAUUUGGAUCAAUGUCUCUUGAUCAUCAUGGGAAUAACAAUGGGACUAAUUUCAUGGACACUUGCCAGAGGUUAAUGUUGCCAUAUGAAGCAAAUGAGGAUCAUCACCAUCAUCAAAAUGAAAUUCAUGAUGUGAAGCCAAACACUAAGCUCUUGUCUCUUGAGUGGCAAGACCAAGGCUGCUCAGACGCCGGAAAAGAAUCAUCAUAUGGGUACCUCAAUGGUCUCGGAACAUGGACAGGCGUGAUGAACAACUACGGGCCAUCCACGACGAACUCAUUAGUCUAAUGAAAUUACUGAUUUGUGUGAUUAGUGACUUUAAUCAAUUAUGAUGAUAUGCAUUAAUCAGAGAGUAGGUAUGAAGGUGUUCUAGUCCCCUUUCAUGAUGUUUAUUGACUUAGUUAACAAGGUGUGUGUGUGAAUGAGAACCUGGAGAGUCCAAAAAUGAGUACUGCCUUACUUUGGUUGAUUCAUUAUUUAUAAUUAGUUUGUACUUUUGUUUCUUUUGGUCUUUCUUCUACUUUGUUGUACUCGAUCUUAGUCUUGGCAGCAAGUGCAAGCAAGACAUUAAUUCAAAGGUCAAAGAUUUUGUUGUUGCAGUACCGAGAUUGAUAUACUAUCCUCUCUUUAGUGUAGCAGACUGUUAUUUUAGUGCUUAGUUAACCCUUCUU